GCUCACCUUUUGGCAGAACAUACACUAAAGUUGGUGCGAUACAGAGAUUAGCAUGGCCCCAGCGCAAGGAUGACACACAAAUUUGUGAAGCGUUCCAUACUUUG
ensembl:snRNA U6 U6 spliceosomal RNA